GGAUUGUGGCUCAGCGGCAGAGUGCUUGCCUCUCACAUUGGGGCACUGGGUUCGAUCCUCAGCACCA
rnacentral:tRNA from 1 species